rnacentral:rRNA from 1 species
AACGAACGCUGGCGGCAUGCCUAACACAUGCCAGUCGAACGAGACCUUCGGGUCUAGUGGCGCACGGGUGCGUAACGCGUGGGAACCUGCCCUUAGGUUCGGAAUAACUCCCCGAAAGGGGUGCUAAUACCGGAUAAUGUCUUCGGACCAAAGAUUUAUCGCCUUUGGAUGGGCCCGCGUUGAAUUAGCUAGUUGGUAGGGUAAAAGCCUACCAAGGCGACGAUCCAUAGCUGGUCUGAGAGGAUGAUCAGCCACACUGGGACUGAGACACGGCCCAGACUCCUACGGGAGGCAGCAGUGGGGAAUAUUGGACAAUGGGCGAAAGCCUGAUCCAGCAAUGCCGCGUGAGUGAUGAAGGCCUUAGGGUUGUAAAGCUCUUUUACCCGGGAUGAUAAUGACAGUACCGGGAGAAUAAGCUCCGGCUAACUCCGUG